UCUAUAUGAGGAUACAUGCACUGGGCACCGAUUUAUUACUUAAAACAUAUGAGUGACAAUGCUUUUUAUUGGUGGGCCUCAGAAACCCACUUUAACUGAUUUG
rnacentral:snoRNA from 1 species